rnacentral:lncRNA from 1 species
CUAGCAUUUCUCUGCACUUAUAACAUUCAACAGAAAAUGCAUAGCAUUAACAAUAUAACCUGUUCAAUCAUAAACAAGGCCACAGCAGCCAACUAUUUGAAAAAUGGUUUAUAUCUUUUGUACAAUCCAGUUUCUUUACCUUUCUACACUAUGGUACAGUAAUGUUUGAAAUUGGAAUGAUCCAUUUGGUCAGCCAUCUGAAGUUAUAUCUAAUAAAACAAGCUUUGAAGUAAAUCUUAAGACUUCUGACCAAACUAUUGAACAAAAUUAUUAA